rnacentral:rRNA from 1 species
ACUCCUACGGGAGGCAGCAGUGGGGAAUAUUGCACAAUGGGGGAAACCCUGAUGCAGCCAUGCCGCGUGUGUGAAGAAGGCCUUCGGGUUGUAAAGCACUUUCAGUAGGGAGGAAGGUAGUGUAGUUAACACCUGCAUUGUUUGACGUUACCUACAGAAGAAGCACCGGCUAACUCCGUGCCAGCAGCCGCGGUAAUACGGAGGGUGCGAGCGUUAAUCGGAAUUACUGGGCGUAAAGCGCAUGCAGGCGGCCUGUUAAGUCAGAUGUGAAAGCCCGGGGCUUAACCUCGGAAUUGCAUUUGAAACUGGCAGGCUAGAGUCUUGUAGAGGGGGGUAGAAUUUCAGGUGUAGCGGUGAAAUGCGUAGAGAUCUGAAGGAAUACCAGUGGCGAAGGCGGCCCCCUGGACAAAGACUGACGCUCAGAUGCGAAAGCGUGGGGAGCAAACAGGAUUA